CUUAGUGGCGGACGGGUGAGUAACGCGUGGGGAACCUGCCCUGUACAGGGGGAUAACACUUAGAAAUAGGUGCUAAUACCGCAUAAGCGCACAGUGUCGCAUGAUACAGUGUGAAAAAACUCCGGUGGUACAGGAUGGACCCGCGUCUGAUUAGCUGGUUGGCGGGGUAACGGCCCACCAAGGCGACGAUCAGUAGCCGGCCUGAGAGGGUGAACGGCCACAUUGGGACUGAGACACGGCCCAAACUCCUACGGGAGGCAGCAG
rnacentral:rRNA from 1 species